GCGCUUGUAGCUCAACUGGAUAGAGCGACGGACUUCGGAUCCGUAGGCUGAGGGUUCGAAUCCUUCCAGGCGCG
rnacentral:tRNA from 2 species